rnacentral:tRNA from 1 species
GCUCGUGUGGUGAAAUUGGUAGACGCGAUAGACUCAAAAUCUAUUAUCAAUGAGAUGUGCCGGUUCGAGUCCGGCCACGAGCACCA